AGAUUAAGUUAUUAAGGGCGCACGGUGGAUGCCUUGGCACUAGAAGCCGAUGAAGGACGUUACUAACGACGAUAUGCUUUGGGGAGCUGUAAGUAAGCUUUGAUCCAGAGAUUUCCGAAUGGGGAAACCCAGCAUGAGUUAUGUCAUGUUAUCGAUAUGUGAAUACAUAGCAUAUCAGAAGGCACACCCGGAGAACUGAAACAUCUUAGUACCCGGAGGAAGAGAAAGAAAAUUCGAUUCCCUUAGUAGCGGCGAGCGAAACGGGAAGAGCCCAAACCAACAAGCUUGCUUGUUGGGGUUGUAGGACACUCUAUACGGAGUUACAAAGGACGACAUUAGACGAAUCAUCUGGAAAGAUGAAUCAAAGAAGGUAAUAAUCCUGUAGUCGAAAAUGUUGUCUCUCUUGAGUGGAUCCUGAGUACGACGGAGCACGUGAAAUUCCGUCGGAAUCUGGGAGGACCAUCUCCUAAGGCUAAAUACUCUCUAGUGACCGAUAGUGAACCAGUACCGUGAGGGAAAGGUGAAAAGCACCCCGGAAGGGGAGUGAAAUAGAACCUGAAACCGUGUGCUUACAAGUAGUCAGAGCCCGUUAAUGGGUGAUGGCGUGCCUUUUGUAGAAUGAACCGGCGAGUUACGAUUUGAUGCAAGGUUAAGCAGUAAAUGUGGAGCCGUAGCGAAAGCGAGUCUGAAUAGGGCGUUUAGUAUUUGGUCGUAGACCCGAAACCAGGUGAUCUACCCUUGGUCAGGUUGAAGUUCAGGUAACACUGAAUGGAGGACCGAACCGACUUACGUUGAAAAGUGAGCGGAUGAACUGAGGGUAGCGGAGAAAUUCCAAUCGAACUUGGAGAUAGCUGGUUCUCUCCGAAAUAGCUUUAGGGCUAGCCUCAAGUGAUGAUUAUUGGAGGUAGAGCACUGUUUGAACGAGGGGCCCCUCUCGGGUUACCGAAUUCAGACAAACUCCGAAUGCCAAUUAAUUUAACUUGGGAGUCAGAACAUGGGUGAUAAGGUCCGUGUUCGAAAGGGAAACAGCCCAGACCACCAGCUAAGGUCCCAAAAUAUAUGUUAAGUGGAAAAGGAUGUGGCGUUGCCCAGACAACUAGGAUGUUGGCUUAGAAGCAGCCAUCAUUUAAAGAGUGCGUAAUAGCUCACUAGUCGAGUGACACUGCGCCGAAAAUGUACCGGGGCUAAACAUAUUACCGAAGCUGUGGAUUGUCCUUUGGACAAUGGUAGGAGAGCGUUCUAAGGGCGUUGAAGCAUGAUCGUAAGGACAUGUGGAGCGCUUAGAAGUGAGAAUGCCGGUGUGAGUAGCGAAAGACGGGUGAGAAUCCCGUCCACCGAUUGACUAAGGUUUCCAGAGGAAGGCUCGUCCGCUCUGGGUUAGUCGGGUCCUAAGCUGAGGCCGACAGGCGUAGGCGAUGGAUAACAGGUUGAUAUUCCUGUACCACCUAUAAUCGUUUUAAUCGAUGGGGGGGACGCAGUAGGAUAGGCGAAGCGUGCGAUUGGAUUGCACGUCUAAGCAGUAAGGCUGAGUAUUAGGCAAAUCCGGUACUCAUUAAGGCUGAGCUGUGAUGGGGAGAAGACAUUGUGUCUUCGAGUCGUUGAUUUCACACUGCCGAGAAAAGCCUCUAGAUAGAAAAUAGGUGCCCGUACCGCAAACCGACACAGGUAGUCAAGAUGAGAAUUCUAAGGUGAGCGAGCGAACUCUCGUUAAGGAACUCGGCAAAAUGACCCCGUAACUUCGGGAGAAGGGGUGCUCUUUAGGGUUAACGCCCAGAAGAGCCGCAGUGAAUAGGCCCAAGCGACUGUUUAUCAAAAACACAGGUCUCUGCUAAACCGUAAGGUGAUGUAUAGGGGCUGACGUCUGCCCGGUGCUGGAAGGUUAAGAGGAGUGGUUAGCUUCUGCGAAGCUACGAAUCGAAGCCCCAGUAAACGGCGGCCGUAACUAUAACGGUCCUAAGGUAGCGAAAUUCCUUGUCGGGUAAGUUCCGACCCGCACGAAAGGCGUAACGAUUUGGGCACUGUCUCAACGAGAGACUCGGUGAAAUCAUAGUACCUGUGAAGAUGCAGGUUACCCGCGACAGGACGGAAAGACCCCGUGGAGCUUUACUGUAGCCUGAUAUUGAAAUUCGGCACAGCUUGUACAGGAUAGGUAGGAGCCUUUGAAACGUGAGCGCUAGCUUACGUGGAGGCGCUGGUGGGAUACUACCCUAGCUGUGUUGGCUUUCUAACCCGCACCACUUAUCGUGGUGGGAGACAGUGUCAGGCGGGCAGUUUGACUGGGGCGGUCGCCUCCUAAAAGGUAACGGAGGCGCUCAAAGGUUCCCUCAGAAUGGUUGGAAAUCAUUCAUAGAGUGUAAAGGCAUAAGGGAGCUUGACUGCGAGACCUACAAGUCGAGCAGGGUCGAAAGACGGACUUAGUGAUCCGGUGGUUCCGCAUGGAAGGGCCAUCGCUCAACGGAUAAAAGCUACCCCGGGGAUAACAGGCUUAUCUCCCCCAAGAGUUCACAUCGACGGGGAGGUUUGGCACCUCGAUGUCGGCUCAUCGCAUCCUGGGGCUGUAGUCGGUCCCAAGGGUUGGGCUGUUCGCCCAUUAAAGCGGUACGCGAGCUGGGUUCAGAACGUCGUGAGACAGUUCGGUCCCUAUCCGUCGUGGGCGUAGGAAAUUUGAGAGGAGCUGUCCUUAGUACGAGAGGACCGGGAUGGACAUACCUCUGGUGUACCAGUUGUCGUGCCAACGGCAUAGCUGGGUAGCUAUGUGUGGACGGGAUAAGUGCUGAAAGCAUCUAAGCAUGAAGCCCCCCUCAAGAUGAGAUUUCCCAACUUCGGUUAUAAGAUCCCUCAAAGAUGAUGAGGUUAAUAGGUUCGAGGUGGAAGCAUGGUGACAUGUGGAGCUGACGAAUACUAAUCGAUCGAAGACUUAAUCAAAUU
rnacentral:rRNA from 1 species